UGCAAGUCGAACGAUGAAACCGCUUCGGUGGUGGAUUAGUGGCGAACGGGUGAGUAACACGUGGGCAAUCUGCCCUUCACUCUGGGACAAGCCCUGGAAACGGGGUCUAAUACCGGAUAAUACUCUGGUCCGCAUGGGAGGGGGUUGAAAGCUCCGGCGGUGAAGGAUGAGCCCGCGGCCUAUCAGCUUGUUGGUGGGGUAAUGGCCUACCAAGGCGACGACGGGUAGCCGGCCUGAGAGGGCGACCGGCCACACUGGGACUGAGACACGGCCCAGACUCCUACGGGAGGCAGCAGUGGGGAAUAUUGCACAAUGGGCGAAAGCCUGAUGCAGCGACGCCGCGUGAGGGAUGACGGCCUUCGGGUUGUAAACCUCUUUCAGCAGGGAAGAAGCGCAAGUGACGGUACCUGCAGAAGAAGCGCCGGCUAACUACGUGCCAGCAGCCGCGGUAAUACGUAGGGCGCAAGCGUUGUCCGGAAUUAUUGGGCGUAAAGAGCUCGUAGGCGGCUUGUCACGUCGGAUGUGAAAGCCCGGGGCUUAACCCCGGGUCUGCAUUCGAUACGGGCUAGCUAGAGUGUGGUAGGGGAGAUCGGAAUUCCUGGUGUAGCGGUGAAAUGCGCAGAUAUCAGGAGGAACACCGGUGGCGAAUGCGGAUCUCUGGGCCAUUACUGACGCUGAGGAACGAAAGCGUGGGGAGCGAACACGAUUAGAUACCCUGGUACUCCACGCCGUAAACGUUGGGAACUAGGUGUUGGCGACAUUCCCC
rnacentral:rRNA from 1 species